AAUGAUCAAAACACCAAGCAUAAUAGUAAAACUAAUAAAGACUGCAAGUACUUUCUCCAUCUCAAAGUACUCCACAACUAGAAAAGCAGAAAAAUGUAUCCACCUGUUCUAAUUUUGAAGAUUUAUAAAACAGUUGAUUUGAAAAGAGCAGAGUUAAAAGCAUAGUAACAAAAUAGUACAGCCAAUUGUUUGGAAAUUUCUAGUCCCGAAGUAUAAGGCGUACAUUUUUUGCAUGAAAAAGAUUUCUUCUACACACCAAUCUAGAAGGUACACAUAUACUUGCAUAAAAUUCUUCUAGAUGCUUCCCACAAUACUGACCCUUCCAUCUUGCAAAGUUUGCUCUUCCUGAUCUUGAACUUAUU
rnacentral:misc_RNA from 1 species